GCAAAUGGACGCUGGCGGCAGGCUUACACAUGCAGUCGAGCGGAGAUGAGGUGCUUGCACCUUAUCUUAGCGGCGGACGGGUGAGUAAUGCUUAGGAAUCUGCCUAUUAGUGGGGGACAACAUUCCGAAAGGAAUGCUAAUACCGCAUACGUCCUACGGGAGAAAGCAGGGGAUCUUCGGACCUUGCGCUAAUAGAUGAGCCUAAGUCGGAUUAGCUAGUUGGUGGGGUAAAGGCCUACCAAGGCGACGAUCUGUAGCGGGUCUGAGAGGAUGAUCCGCCACACUGGGACUGAGACACGGCCCAGACUCCUACGGGAGGCAGCAGUGGGGAAUAUUGGACAAUGGGGGGAACCCUGAUCCAGCCAUGCCGCGUGUGUGAAGAAGGCCUUAUGGUUGUAAAGCACUUUAAGCGAGGAGGAGGCUACUGAGACUAAUACUCUUGGAUAGUGGACGUUACUCAAAAAUAAGCACCGGCUACUA
rnacentral:rRNA from 1 species